UGACACGUUCGGAAUGGUCGGGAUAGCUCA
rnacentral:tRNA from 1 species